CUUCAUGAUGACAACAACAGAGCCCCUCCGUCUGCUCCUGUCCCCACCCCUCUGCCCUACCCUCCACCUCCUGUGCCCUCCUACACGCCUCAUGUCCCUCUGCCGGGUUAUGUCAACACAGGUGGAAUACAACAAGGUCCCAUCAUCCCCAUGGUGCCAAUGCAACAAAACAAUCAGGUGAUAAUCUGCAUUGGGGACCUUGGUGAUGCCUCUACCAUGACCACGUGUCGUAACUGUGGCCAGCGUGUCCAGACCAGAGUGGUGUACAAGACUGGAGUAUUCGCAUGGAUGAUGUU